UACGGAAGGGGCAAGCGUUGUUCGGAAUCAUUGGGCGUAAAGGGCGCGUAGGUGGUUCUGUAUGUCUACCGUGAAAGCAUACAGUUCAACUGUAUUUUGUCGGUAGAAACUGCAGGACUUGAGGCUGGGAGGGGCUGGUGGAAUUCCCUGUGUAGCGGUGAAAUGCGUAGAGAUGGGGGAGAACACUCGUGGCGAAGGCGGCCAGCUAGACCAGUUCUGACACUGAGGCGCGACAGCGUGGGGAGCAAACAGG
rnacentral:rRNA from 1 species